CAGCAGCCGCGGUAAUACGGAGGAUCCAAGCGUUAUCCGGAAUCAUUGGGUUUAAAGGGUCCGUAGGCGGUCUUGUAAGUCAGUGGUGAAAGCCCAUCGCUCAACGGUGGAACGGCCAUUGAUACUGCAGGACUUGAAUUAUUGGGAAGUAACUAGAACAUGUAGUGUAGCGGUGAAAUGCUUAGAGAUUACAUGGAAUACCAAUUGCGAAGGCAGGUUACUACCAAUUGAUUGACGCUGAUGGACGAAAGCGUGGGUAGCGAACAGGAUUAGAUACCCCAGUAGUCCCUGUCUCUUAUAU
rnacentral:rRNA from 1 species